AAUGCAUACCUACUACCAAUUGUACACAUGGCUAUUGUAAUAAACCAUUUGAGUGUCUGUGCGAGGAGGGCUGGAGUGGAGAGAAUUGCACUGAGCCCGUAAGGAAAUCAAGUUGUAGUUCGCAGAAUCCCUGUCAAAAUGGUGGCUCGUGCAUCGACGUUGCCAUGAGCAACUAUCACUGUCAUUGCAAGCCAGGCUUUACUGGACGCCAUUGUCAGGAUAAAGGUAGGUGCAGGCCAUUGAAGAUGCAGAUUACUUCUUUUACGUGUGAGACACGCGUAAAAACGUUGAGCCCACUGUUUAACAAGAUUGAACAAUGUUUUGCUGCCCACGUUGUUCACACUUCCCAACAGUAUUGAACAAUAUUGUUGAGCCUGAAUCGGGUGUAACAAUAUUGUUCAAUAUUGUUGACAACUGCAUGUGAACAAUGUGGGCAGCAAAACAUUAUUCAAUCCUGUUUUCAUCAAACUAUUGCAACAACCUGAUCGUUUUCAGGCGUGUAGGCCUACUAUAAGCACUAUCGUGCAGCGGAUGGUGGCUAACCUGCAGUUAUCCGAGUGAGAAAAUCAGUGGCGGCGCCAGGCUUCCAAAUUUGGGGGGGGCAUUUGAGGGGCAAACUCAAAUUUUGGGGGGGCAAGAUAGAAUUUUUAAAAAGGUCGCCCCCCCCAGGAAAUUCGCCCCCCCCCCCUCAAAACGUGGCGAUAUUCCUAGGAAUAUCGCCUCCCAGGGGGGUGGGGCGAAUACCCUAGGAAUAUCGUCCCUCUUUAGGACAUUCGCCCCCCAUAUAUGCGAUGUGGUUUAUUCAAAUAAUUUCGUGAUACUUUCAUCUUAUUAUUGCCUUACACGUUUGAGAAUUUAACUCUGCAAAACUAAAGCUUUUUUGUCUUUUUUUUUAAACGUAUUAUUGGAGUAUUGGCAAGUUUUACCAUUCAGAGAUUUACAAAAUAAUAUUGAAACUGUAAAAAACAGUUUCAUGUAUACGCGCAUUCACUAAUGAGUAAUGACAACUUAUAAGCCAUACAUUUUCCGAUAACGACAGAACGCUUGUGUAGCCUUUAGUCGCUUUUAGUGACUAAUAAUUUUUUUUGAGGGGAGGGCAAAAUGGGGGGGGGGCAAAAAAUAAUUUUGGGGGGCAUUUGCCCCCCCCCCCUGGCGCCGCCACUGGAGAAAAUAAUGUCUAUUAUAUGGAAGUAAAUAAAAUUGUGAUGUAAUUUUCUUGCUGUUAUAAAUGUCAGCAUUCCUGAAGUUGACUGCCGUCUGCGCGCCUUGUGUGAUGUCAGCUUGUUGGUAGUGAUUGAAGCGGUCGACGACACUUCGUGAGUUGAGGAUGCUUCUGUUCAGUGGCGUAACCUCUUUGAGAUUAACUUCCCAAGUCAAUCAUCAGGAGCCCCCAAAACAAGGAUGACAAAGUGGCGAAGAUGAAUGAUUUCAACAAUUUUUACAUCUUCUUAGCGUAGCCCUCUCUCUUUCCGUCACCACUUUGAACGGGCAGGACCAGGGGUCCUCUAAUCCUCUUAAUAAUAAUAGUUUAUUUAUCUAGCUUUAGUGUAAAAAUACAAUGGAUUUAUUCUCAGAACAAAGUUGCUAUUAUAGACAAUAUUUUUAUAGUUAUUCCUAAAAUUUUUAUCUGUGCAUAUAACUUAAUUAGCUAUAGAUUUUACUAACUGUAAAUCCAUUGUAUUUUUGUUUAAGUCCGUUUAAAUCAGAGGCCCGUUAGCACAAAGUUACGCCACUGCUUUUGUUGCUCCGAAUUCCACCUGUACAGGCAUUCCAAACCUUAUUCGAACUAUUGCAAGUUUCAAGGACUCCCUCUUCCUCAAGGUGUCGUCCACUGGACAACAACAAAACACGACGUGUCUGGCACGCCAAUGUCUGAUCUUGUACUCGUAGUCAAAUUAAAAGCCGCCUGUUAUCUCCAUUAUAGUUUUAAAUCCGUGCUCGAAAUGGUGCAAUGAAAGUCAUGGCUACUGUGAAGAUAACGAAUGCAAGU
rnacentral:lncRNA from 1 species